rnacentral:rRNA from 1 species
AUCUAAGGCCAUACCACUCCGACCACACCCAGUCUCAUUUGAUCUUAGAAGCUAAGCAGGGUCAGGCCUGGUUAGUACUUGAGGGGAAGAGCUGUCCUAGUGUGAUAGGUUCCAAAGCUGGAUAUUUAAGAUU